GGCUGGUAUGAAUGGUUAGACGGAGAGUUGACUGUCUCUUCAAAAUUUUAAGAAUUUAAAUUCUAGGUUAAAAUGCCUAGAUAUUAUUGAAAGACGAGAAGACCCUAGCGAGCUUUAUUUUUAACGCUAGAAAUAAGUAGAUGUUUAAACUUUUGUUGGGGCGACUGAGGAGAUGGAGCUUCCUUUAUAAAAUGAAAAAUAAUGGUUAAGGAUCCAGUGUAAUUACUGAAAAACAGGGGAGCUACCGUAGGGAUAACAGCGUAAUCCUUUUAGAGAGUUCUUAUCGAAAAAAGUGUUUGCGACCUCGAUGUUGGACUAGGAUAUCCUAAAGGUGUAGAGGCUUUUAAGGGUUGGUCUGUUCGACCAAUAAAAUCCUACAUGAUCUGAGUUCAGACCGGA
rnacentral:rRNA from 1 species